UACGUAGGGAGCGAGCGUUGUCCGGAUUUAUUGGGCGUAAAGGGCGCGUAGGCGGUUAAGUAAGUCGGGUGUUAAAUCUCCAAGCUCAACUUGGAGCUGCCACUCGAAACUGCUUUGACUUGAGUCUGGUAGGGGAACACGGAAUACCUGGUGUAGCGGUGAAAUGCUUAGAUAUCAGGUGGAACACCAGUGGCGAAGGCGGUGUUCUGGUCCGGUACUGACGCUGAGGUGCGAAAGCGUGGGGAGCAAACAGG
rnacentral:rRNA from 1 species